UUACACGUAUAUGUUUUGAUAUUUUUAAUUUUUAUAAUAGUGAUUUAUUGAUUUUUGAAGUUGUAACAACCAAACUGCUGUAACCUCUACCUUUUGUUCAAGAGCGAUGCUAUUUUUGUUCCAACUUAUUAGUUGUAUACUAAAAAAAAAAAAAACUAAGUACAAAUAUUGCAUAUUCGUGUUUUAAUGUUUUAUCUUGUUAUAAUUGUGAUUUAUUAAAUUCUGAAGUUGAAUGUAUAUUCGAGUCAAUCUCUUUUUUUUUGCAAAUAUAACUGAUAUUCUAUUAAAACUUGACCCGGGGUUAUAUGUCCAAAAACAAUAAAGAAAAACUGAAACAACAGAAUUUAAAACAAACAAAAGCACACAAGAAAAGAAACGACAAAAACACCUAAAAAACCAUCCACAAAGUAAAACCACCCCGCACCAAAACGAAAAGCCAACAGAAAUAUCAAACGAAAUGGCUUCCUGAAACCACAUAAUUGUUCUUAAAAACUUGACCCAACAGAAAAGCUUCUUUGAAACCACCCAUGGAGAAUCUUCAGCACAAUCUCAUUCUUCAAAGAAGCACAAAACCCCUUAUCCUCUGUGUACACAAGCCAGAGUAUGCUCUGCACUAUUAGCCGUCCUCGGUACAAACAGAGUUCAGUUUCUUAAUAGUAGUCAGAGAGUCACUUUCCAACAGAAUCCUCGUCCACCCCGCCGCAGCCGCAAAAAGCAUGGCCCUCUCGCACGCUCUCGCUUCUGCCACCACCGCGUCCACCACAUCACUAAAA